CACGUAGGGGACGAGCGUUGUCCGGAAUUAUUGGGCGUAAAGAGCUCGUAGGCGGUUUGUCACGUCGGAUGUGAAAACCCGAGGCUUAACCUCGGGCCUGCAUUCGAUACGGGCUGACUAGAGUUCGGUAGGGGAGACUGGAAUUCCUGGUGUAGCGGUGAAAUGCGCAGAUAUCAGGAGGAACACCGGUGGCGAAGGCGGGUCUCUGGGCCGUAACUGACGCUGAGGCACGAAAGCUAGGGUAGCAAACGGG
rnacentral:rRNA from 1 species